rnacentral:rRNA from 1 species
UACGUAGGGUGCGAGCGUUGUCCGGAAUUAUUGGGCGUAAAGGGCUCGUAGGCGGUUUGUCGCGUCGGGAGUGAAAACUCAGGGCUUAACCCUGAGCCUGCUUCCGAUACGGGCAGACUAGAGGUAUGCAGGGGAGAACGGAAUUCCAGGUGUAGCGGUGAAAUGCGUAGAUAUCUGGAGGAAUACCGGUGGCGAAGGCGGCAUCCUGGACCGACAUUGACGCUGAGGAGCGAAAGCUAGGGGAGCAAACGGG